rnacentral:rRNA from 1 species
AAUCAACGCUGGCGGCGUGCCUAACACAUGCAAGUCGAACGAGAAAGGGGACUUCGGUCCCUGAGUACAGUGGCGCACGGGUGAGUAACACGUGACUUAUCUACCCUCGAGUGGGGAAUAACUUCGGGAAACCGAGGCUAAUACCGCAUAAUACCCACGGGUCAAAGGAGCAAUUCGCUUGAGGAGGAGGUCGCGGCCGAUUAGUUAGUUGGCGGGGUAAUGGCCCACCAAGACGGUGAUCGGUAUCCGGCCUGAGAGGGCGCACGGACACACUGGAACUGAAACACGGUCCAGACUCCUACGGGAGGCAGCAGUGGGGAAUUUUGCGCAAUGGGGGAAACCCUGACGCAGCAACGCCGCGUGGAGGAUGAAGUCUCUUGGGACGUAAACUCCUUUCGAUCGGGACGAUUAUGACGGUACCGGAAGAAGAAGCCCCGGCUAGCUUCGUG